rnacentral:rRNA from 1 species
GAAGCGAAGCGGUGACGUGGAGCAAACCUCNGAAAGCCAAUCUCAGUUCGGAUUGUAGGCUGCAACUCGCCUACAUGAAGUUGGAAUCGCUAGUAAUCGCGAAUCAGAAUGUCGCGGUGAAUACGUUCCCGGGUCUUGUACACACCGCCCGUCACACCACGAGAGUUUACAACACCCGAAGUCAGUGGCCUAACCGCAAGGAGGGAGCUGCCUAAGGUGGGGUAGAUGAUUGGGGUGAAGUCGUAACAAGGUACC